UACGUAGGUGGCAAGCGUUGUCCGGAUUUACUGGGCGUAAAGAGCGCGCAGGCGGUCGUUCAAGUCGCGUGUGAAAGCCCCGGCUCAACUGGGGAGGUCACGCGAUACUGAUCGACUCGAAGGCAGGAGAGGGUAGUGGAAUUCCCGGUGUAGUGGUGAAAUGCGUAGAUAUCGGAGGAACACCAGUGGCGAAGGCGACUACCUGGCCUGUUCUUGACGCUGAGGCGCGAAAGCUAGGGAGCAACGGG
rnacentral:rRNA from 1 species